GUUGCAACCUGAAUACUGCCUAAGAGAGUCUUCCACAUGCUCUCUCACAGUUCCCUUAAAGGAGAUGCAGAUGAUUCAUAAGUAGAUGAACUAGGAUCAGUACCGCCUCUCCCCCCGCUUUCCAUUACACUUGGACAGCAAGCUGUACUCACAAGGGUGAUGAACUCCAGCUUCCACAUUCCUCACAGAAGGUGCUGCCCUUUUCAGCACAUUAUUGCUACAGCAAAAAAAUCCAUGCUCCAAGUUUGUGCAACCAUCCUUAGCAUUCUUGUAUUGAUCUAAUUCUACAAGUCUCAGGUCAAGAGCCACUAAACUGAACAUGGAGAUUAAUUUAAUCACCAGGAAGUGCUAACAGUGCACCAUUCACUGAAUCUAUGCGGCAAAAAUGAAAAGGAUCAAAGCACAGAUCCCGGAAGAGGAGAUGAAAACACAGAAGCAGAGCAUGGGCUCCUGUCACUUUUGCCUCUCCUGCUCUCUAGCAGCUGAAGUGACACAUCCCUUGGAUAUUUAAGAGGAUUUAAGCCUGGUCCAGAUCGUGCCACCACCUUCCUACUUGAUAGAGCACCCAGCUGAAAACUUGCAUUGGAGGGUGCCUGCCCUCAGAGGGGACUGCGCGAGAUGAGCACACCCCAGCCCACCCGCCUUCCCCUGUCAAAUGGGGAGAAGAAUGGCCAAAAUACUGACCAUGGCCAUACUGCUACAUGGGCCACAGCACUCUGCUGUCCCAGAUCUCCAGUUGCUUAGGGAACAUAUUGCUUCUGCCCGUUUCUGUGCUUUAUUUUCUGGUCUACUCCUCAAUAAAUUAUCU